UGCACAGGAGAAGAAGGAAAACGGAAAACUGACAGGAGCCUUAUCUCCUCGCUCGCACCCAUUUCCUCUCCUGCCCAGGUCCGCCGUCGCCACACACCCAUCUCCUCCCCUGCUCCCGGCCGGCGCCGUCCCGCCCCCAUCUCCUCCCGAGCUUCUGCCGUGCCGCGACGGCUGAUCCGGUGCACAACCGCCGUCAGCCACCUGUCGCACGACCGCCGCGUCCAUGCCCACCGCCGCUGCUCUCUAUCCCCAACCUCCCACCAUCUCCUCGACUCCACAAGUCAUCGUCGGGCCAACCCCGCGCGUCGUGUGCCUCCGCCACCCCAUCCGCCACCUCUGACCACCGCCGCCGCUCAUCAAAUGGACGAUCCACCGUCGCCGCCUACUACAUCGACAGGUGAGCUUAUGGUUCCUGAUCAUGGUGCCAUAAUUGCGCUCAUCCUCUAUGGGGUCCAUCAGAACUGAACUACAUAUCAUGAAAGGGCCUCAAGACCUUCCGAAAGCUGCACAAACAUGGUGUCAUCGAUCUUGGGGCUGACCAUUCAGAUGGCGGAGAGCCUCAUUAACACGGGCUUCUCCAACCGCCGGAUGGCCAUCCCCCAGCAUUCCUUCAUGCUCGUUGUAGUCACCCGCUCCGAGUCGCUCAACCUUAGGGCGGCCAUCGGCGCCACCAAGCUCGCCAACACGCUCGUCUCGCUAGACGGCGCCAUGGUGAUCACCUUCUACAUAGGUGUGGUCUUCAGCUUCAUCCAGGUCACCGUGCAGCGCAACCUCGCCGGCUAGACCAUCUCCAGCAAGUUCCAGAUCAUCACUUUCAUGUACUCCGUAAGAAACCAACCAACCAUCAUGCUUUUGAAUUGCUUGCUACAUUAUGCACAACAUGGCUUGCCGCUGAUCGACUUUGAUUGAUUUUACCUGAAUUCGGGUUGUGGUCGCGUCUGGCAUGUCCUUUGUGAUGAUGCAUUCCUUCGUGAUGCUGACAUGGUGCAUCGACCCAUGACCUAGCCUCUUCAGUGGGAAAUUCUGACCACGCUAACCAGAUAGUUCGGGUGCAGCGACCUAGAAAACCGGGGAGAGCACGCAACCUCGUGUGCGGGGAGGAGAAAAUCGGAUCGAAGGAGGGGGUUCGUUCGGGAGAUCCUUUAGAUCGGCGGCGUUAGGGUUCAUGGAUGGUCUCGGCGAGGCGGCGGCAACGACCCCUUCAGACAGCUCUCUACGCAGGUGACAACUGCAAGAAGGUGCAUGUUGUGCUGAUUUGGUGGUUGGCAGCUGACAGUUUUGGUUUCCUCCUCCGAUGUCGUAGUUGUGCUGGGGUGCCAAUUCUGGAGUUAGAUUGCAUGUCCGCGGACACAUUGCGCCAGUCUGUUUCUUUCAACGGCUAUGAUUUUGCUUUAGGCAAACUACAUUGAAGGUUCGUAAAGCUGCAGAACUGCGAUGAAGUCGCGUCGAGCUCGGGUGAAAAGGUGAUUUGUCUUCUUUGCCUUGAAAGAGAGGGGCAUACGCUGGUUUUUUGUAUAGGAUUAUUCUAUCUUUUCAGUCAUGUAAUGCCGUUGUUUACAUGGCUUAUAACUGAAUCUUUAUUUUAUUAAUGAGACACCUAUUACCACAAAGAAAAAAGACUAGACUCGUCUUUGCCAAAAAAAGGACUAGGCUCGUCUUUUGAUAAACGACUAUUUUUUAGCAAAACUAAUACCAAAUUUAAGAACCAAAAAUCAUGUUUGUAGAAGAUUUAACAACACCCGAUCCCCAAUUUUUGACAGGUUUUUUUCUAUUUUUAAUGGGUAAAAGACUUGCCGCAUUUAUUAAUUAAGAAAGGGUUUAGAACAAGUUUGGUCACCCUAGGGCAAGAAGCCGGUAAAAAAACCCUUACUCUCCCGACAUGAAAUUAGGCCAACUCCAAUGCGGCGACCCAUUUGGUCCGGCCGCGUCCGUUUGGAUCCGCGCAGAUAGAAAACGUGGGCCAAUGCACUGACGAAAAUGGGCAGGUGUCCGUUUUUCUGUCCGCUGUGACCCAUGUUCGGUCCAAAGUUGGGCUGAGUUUGCGGCAUCGCAGACACAAUGCCGACGUGUGCGACGCCCGUCCUUGUCCUCUCCCUAGUCCACCCAUUGGUGGCACAUCGGUCAUUCUUCCUUUCCCUCCUUCACGCUCGACACCCCCGCCCUCGUCGCCGCCACCCAUUUUUUGGUCGGUUCGACAGUACUCAGGCCGCCGCCGCAUCCAACCACUUCCCAACGGCCACGCCGCAUCCACUGGGGCCCACCCCUUGCCGGCAUCUAUGGUCGCCCUUCCCAGCGUCGAAGCAUGAUACGUCUCCAACGUA